GUGGUGAGUGUGUAAGAGCGCAUGGUGGAUGCCUUGGUAUCAGGAGCCGAUGAAGGACGUGGUGACCUGCGAUAAGCCUCGGGGAGUUGGUGAACAGGCGGUGAUCCGAGGGUGUCCGAAUGGGGGAACCCCGCUGCAUGUGAUGUGUAGUGACCUGCCAUUGAAUGUAUAGGUGGUAGGGGGGAACGUGGGGAAGUGAAACAUCUCAGUACCCAUAGGAAGAGAAAAUAAUAAUGAUUCUGCUAGUAGUGGCGAGCGAACGUGGAUGAGCCUAAACCGUGUGUGUGUAAGCGUGCUGGUGUUGCAUGCAUGGUGUUGUGGGGUUGGUUUUUCUGCUCUCAGCAUGGAGUGGUGCCGUGAUAUGCGUGUAGGUGAAUAGUCUGGGAUGGCUAACCGGAGCAGGUGAGAGUCCUGUAGCCCAAAUGCGUGUGUUGUGGUGUGACUGAUUCCCGAGUAGGACGGGACUCGUGUAAUCCUGUGUGAAUCUGCCAGGACCACCUGGUAAGGCUAAAUACUUCCUGGUAACCGAUAGUGGAUAGUACCGUGAGGGAAUGGUGAAAAGUACCCCGGGAGGGGAGUGAAAUAGUACCUGAAACCAUGUGCUUACAAUCCGUCAGAGCCUUCUUUGUUGGGGUGAUGGCGUGCCUUUUGAAGAAUGAGCCUGCGAGUUAGUGAUACGUGGCGAGGUUAACCCGUGUGGGGUAGUCGUAGCGAAAGCGAGUCCGAAUAGGGCGUGGUAGUCGCGUGUUCUAGACCCGAAGCGGAGUGAUCUAGCCAUGGGCAGGGUGAAGCGAUGGUAAGACGUCGUGGAGGCCCGUACCCACCUAGGUUGAAAACUGGGGGGAUGAUCUGUGGUUAGGGGUGAAAGGCCAAUCAAACUCUGUGAUAGCUGGUUCUCCCCGAAAUGCAUUUAGGUGCAGCGUUGCGUGUUGCUUAUGCGAGGUAGAGCUACUGGGUGGCUGAUGGGCCCUAUCGGGUUACUGACGUCAGCCAAACUCCGAAUGCGUGUAAGUGUAAGCGUGGCAGUGAGACUGCGGGGGAUAAGCUUCGUAGUCGAGAGGGAAACAGCCCAGACCAUCAACUAAGGCCCCUAAGCGUGUGCUCAGUGGGAAAGGAUGUGGAGUUGCGAAGACAACCAGGAGGUUGGCUUAGAAGCAGCCACCCUUGAAAGAGUGCGUAAUAGCUCACUGGUCAAGUGAUUCCGCGCCGAUAAUGUAGCGGGGCUUAAGUACACCGCCGAAGUUGUGGCAACACCACGUUAAAAGGCUUAACAGCCGUGGUGUUGGGUAGGGGAGCGUCGUGUGGCCGGUGAAGUUGCCGUGUAAACGAGUGAUGGAGGCUAUACGAGUGAGAAUGCAGGCAUGAGUAGCGAAAGACGGGUGAGAAUCCCGUCCGCCGGAUGACAAAGGGUUCCAGGGGCAGGUUCGUCCGCCCUGGGUAAGUCGGGACCUAAGGCGAGGCCGACAGGCGUAGUCGAUGGAUAACGGGUUGAUAUUCCCGUACCGGUGAAAAACCGUCCAUACCGAAUCAUGUGAGACUAACUACUCACUCCCACCGAACACCUUUCGGGGUGUGGUUGUGGGUGUGGCUAGGACCUGAGCGUGUUGUAGGUAAGCGUGUUAACAGGUGUGACGCAGGAAGGUAGCCAGGCUGCGCGAUGGUUGUCGCAGUCUAAGGUUGUAGGCCGUCAUCUUGGUAAAUCCGGGUGACGUGUGGCUGAGAGCUGAUGGGCAUUCCACGUGGUGGAGUGAUCUGGUGAUCCUAUGCUGCCAAGAAAAGCAUCGACGUGAGGUUUGAUCCGCCCGUACCGAUAACCGACACAGGUAGUCAGGUAGAGAAUACUAAGGCGAGCGAGAUAAUCGUAGUUAAGGAACUCGGCAAAUUGCCCCCGUAACUUCGGAAGAAGGGGGACCAUCCUGGUACUAACCCAUAGCGGUGAAAGCUGGUGGUGGUCGCAGAGACCAGAGAGAAGCGACUGUUUACUAAAAACACAGGUCCGUGCGAAGACGUAAGUCGAUGUAUACGGACUGACGCCUGCCCGGUGCUGGAAGGUUAAGAGGACCCGUUAACCCUUGGGUGAAGCGGAGAAUUUAAGCCCCAGUAAACGGCGGUGGUAACUAUAACCAUCCUAAGGUAGCGAAAUUCCUUGUCGGGUAAGUUCCGACCUGCACGAAUGGCGUAACGACUUCUCUGCUGUCUCUACUACGAACUCGGCGAAAUUGCAUUACGAGUAAAGAUGCUCGUUACGCGCAGCAGGACGGAAAGACCCCGAGACCUUUACUACAGUUUGGUAUUGGUGUUCGGUGUGGCUUGUGUAGGAUAGGUGGGAGACUAUGAAGCAUGCACGCCAGUGUGUGUGGAGUCAUUGGUGAAAUACCACUCUGGCCAUUCUGGAUUCCUUAACUUCGGACCCUGAUCGGGUUCAGGGACAGUGCCUGAUGGGUAGUUUAACUGGGGCGGUUGCCUCCCAAAGAGUAACGGAGGCGCCCAAAGGUUCCCUCAGCCUGGUUGGCAAUCAGGUUUUGAGUGUAAGUGCACAAGGGAGCUUGACUGUGAGACGGACGUGUCGAGCAGGAGCGAAAGCUGGGACUAGUGACCCGGCCGUGGAUUGUGGAAUCGCGGUCGCUCAACGGAUAAAAGGUACCUCGGGGAUAACAGGCUGAUCUUGCCCAAGAGUCCAUAUCGACGGCAUGGUUUGGCACCUCGAUGUCGGCUCGUCGCAUCCUGGGGCUGGAGUCGGUCCCAAGGGUUGGGCUGUUCGCCCAUUAAAGCGGUACGCGAGCUGGGUUUAGAACGUCGUGAGACAGUUCGGUCCCUAUCCGCUGCGUGCGUAGGAAAUUUGAGAAGGGCUGUCCUUAGUACGAGAGGACCGGGACGGACGAACCUCUGGUGUGCCAGUUGUACCGCCAGGUGCAUGGCUGGUUGGCUACGUUCGGGAAGGAUAACCGCUGAAAGCAUCUAAGCGGGAAGCCUGCUUCAAGAUGAGAUUUCCAUGAGGUGCCCUACAGACUAUAGGGUUGAUAGGCCAGACGUGGAAGCACAGUAAUGUGUGUAGCUGACUGGUACUAAUACACCGAUCACUCACACACA
rnacentral:rRNA from 1 species